GGCCUUAUAUUCAACAAUGAUUUUAAAUUGCAAAUUUAAAGGUGGAGUGAUCCUAAGGCUU
rnacentral:tRNA from 1 species